UAACCGAGAAAAACCACGAAACCACUUCUUCCACCUCACCACGUUCAACAUCACCUGCACUUCGUAGAUCGAGCAGUUUCAAUGACGUUCCAGGCGAUUCGCUCCUCUUCCCCCUACUUUCUAAUUCUUCUUUCUCUGCUGUCUUAUCGAGUCGUGGCGAUUACGAGGACUUACCGCUCUUGUUGAUCAAUAACGACGCAGACGGACGCCACUCUCAAGCUCACGUCUCGGCUCGAAUUUGUCUAUACCCUACUCCCCCCUUCUAGACUCGUAGCUGGCUCGUUUGACAUUUCCGAG